rnacentral:misc_RNA from 1 species
GGCUCAACAAGCAGAAUACAAUAUACUAUAAAAAAUUGAAAUCCAAGAUGGCGGCUGCUACAAAAUGGCGGAUAACGUAGGUUUUAUCGAUCCCAUCAAUAUGGGUAUCAAAUGAAAGUGCUCAACCAGUAUAAUCAAUGUACUAUAUAAAAUUAAAAUCCAAGAUGGCGGUCUCUACAAAAUGGCGGAUAACUUAGGUUUUAU